UUGUAAUGACAGAUCAUGUGAUGGAGAUUGUGGUAGCAGAACAGGGCGGAAGAUUGUGACUAAGUGCUGUUUCUCUUUCUCCGCGUGGUCUUUAAGCCAAUAAGGGGCUCUUUUCAAGGAAGGCAGGGCCCAACACGCAGUUCGUAUCUCACCUACAGGAUGGGGCGACCCUGAUUUUGGUGCCCCUCACCAAGACCCGUGUGGAUCUGGCAGGUCACUCAAAACCGAGCUGGCGGUGCAGAACACACACGCUAAAAAAGGCACUGUGAGGACAGCUGUCACUCUGAAACGGCUCAAGAGUUCCACAGCCGAAACGUUCCACAGCCGAAAUCAUUUCUGAGAGACUCCACGGUGAACAGUUUGCAACAGAACAAUUAUGUGAGACAUUUGGGUCAUUGGAUUCUUUGUGCUAAAUGUCUUGGACCAAUCACAGCACUGGAAGAUCAGCAGCAUGAAUUAAUAGAAUCUUAUUAACCCAUUAAGGUGCAAGAUCACAAAUAUGUUAUUGGAAUGCUUGUGACUGAACAUUCGGAUGCUGGUGUAAGAAUAGCUGCCUUUAAUUGAAAGCAAUGAAGUUCUAGAACUCCAAUUUAGAAUUAAAAAAAAAAAAACAUUCCAGAAAGUCUACUCUUCUUUUUUUUGACAUUUUAUCCCCAGUUUAGUCGUUAUA